ACUCAAAUGAAUUGACGGGGACCCGCACAAGCGGUGGAGCGUGUUGUUUAAUUCGAUGGUAAGCGAAGAACCUUACCCAGGCUUGACAUCCUGUGAAGCAUUGCGAAAGCAAAGUGUGCCUUUUGGAACACAGUGACAGGUGAUGCAUGGCCGUCGUCAGCUCGUGUCGUGAGAUGUUUGGUUAAGUCCAUCAACGAGCGCAACCCUUAUAGUUAGUUGAAUUUCUCUAGCUAGACUGCCCUGGUAACAGGGAGGAAGGGGGGGAUGAUGUCAGGUCAGUAUUUCCCUUACGUCUGGGGCUACAAACACGCUACAAUGGCCGGUACAAAGGGCUGCCAACCCGCGAGGGGGAGCAAAUCCCAUCAAAGCCGGUCUCAGUUCGGAUAGCAGGCUGAAACCCGCCUGCUUGAAGCUGGAAUCGCUAGUAACGGUAAGUCAGCACAUUACCGUGAAUACGUUCCCGGGUCUUGUACACACCGCCCGU
rnacentral:rRNA from 1 species